GUAUCGUUGGUCUAGGGGUAUGAUUCUCGCUUAGGAUGCAAAAGGUCCUGGGUUUAACUCCCAGACGAGCCC